rnacentral:misc_RNA from 1 species
AAUAUUGAGUUCUGGGAUUGCCUCUAUUAAAAUGGUUUAAACCAAUUUGAUUUGACUCUCUCUUAUUACAUAUUCUUUUUCAAUUUUUUUGUAAGUUCUUCACGAGAGACUCAAACAGUUAGCCUUAUAAUACAUUAGGUUAGCUUCUUCUUUAAGAAUUGUUUAGAUACAAAGCAAAAUUGAAAGUACUUACUAUAGUUGCAAAUUUUGGUAGGAACUGGGAGCUUCUUGGGGCAUGGCAGGGAGCUAAAAUUACAGUGCCUACAAAAUUGAUAAUUGGUGACAAGGAUUUGGGGUUUGUAUCAUUUGGGACAAAGGACUACAUCAAUGGAGAAAUAUUCAAGAGCUUAGUACCUAACCUUGAAGUGGUUGUCAUUGAUGGGCACCAUUUUAUCCAGCAGGAGAAAGCUGAACAAGUUUCUAAUGAAAUUUUAUCCUUUUUUAGCAAGAAACCAAAGAUGUGAUCAAUGAAUCAAUUAUGCAAAUAGUUUAGCACACCUUCAAUAAGUGCUAAUUCCUGAAAUCAAGUUUGUCGAUGUAUCACUUUUCAUAAGGAUAUUGAUACUUGAGACAUUAAUAG